AUCCUUUUGUAGUUCAUAGGCGUGAUGAGUGGGUUUUCAUGCACAUGUGUGAGAUGUGCCACCCUCAAACCUUGUUACGAUAUUGGCACAUUACCCAUCUGUCA
rnacentral:snoRNA from 1 species